rnacentral:rRNA from 1 species
UACGUAGGGUGCUAGCGUUGUCCGGAUUUAUUGGGCGUAAAGGGCUCGUAGGCGGCGUGUCGCGUCGGGAGUGAAAGCCCGCUGCUUAACGGCGGGUUGGCUUCCGGUACGGGCAUCGCUGGAGUGCGGCAGGGGAGACUGGAAUUCCGGGUGUAGUGGUGGAAUGCAUAGAGAUCCGGAGGAACACCAGCGGCGAAGGCGGCAUCCUGGACUGGUCCUGACACUCAGGAGCGAAAGCGUGGGGAGCGAUCCGG